rnacentral:rRNA from 1 species
UGGGGAAUAUUGCACAAUGGGCGCAAGCCUGAUGCAGCCAUGCCGCGUGUAUGAAGAAGGCCUUCGGGUUGUAAAGUACUUUCAGCGGGGAGGAAGGUGUUGAGGCUAAUAACCUCAGCAAUUGACGUUACCCGCAGAAGAAGCACCGGCUAACUCCGUGCCAGCAGCCGCGGUAAUACGGAGGGUGCAAGCGUUAAUCGGACUUACUGGGCGUAAAGCGCACGCAGGCGGUCUGUCAAGUCGGAUGUGAAAUCCCCGGGCUCAACCUGGGAACUGCAUUCGAAACUGGCAGGCUAGAGUCUUGUAGAGGGGGGUAGAAUUCCAGGUGUAGCGGUGAAAUGCGUAGAGAUCUGGAGGAAUACCGGUGGCGAAGGCGGCCCCCUGGACAAAGACUGACGCUCAGGUGCGAAAGCGUGGGGAGCAAACA